CUACGGGUCGCUGCAGUGGGGAAUAUUGGACAAUGGGGGAAACCCUGAUGCAGCAACGCCGCGUGGAGGAUGACACUUUUCGGAGCGUAAACUCCUUUUAUAUAGGAAGAAGAUGACGGUACUAUAUGAAUAAGCACCGGCUAACUCCGUGCCAGCAGCCGCGGUAAUACGGAGGGCGCAAGCGUUACUCGGAAUCACUGGGCGUAAAGAGCGUGUAGGCGGAUUAAAAAGUCAGAAGUGAAAUCCUAUAGCUUAACUAUAGAACUGCUUCUGAAACUCUUAAUCUAGAAUAUGGGAGAGGUAGAUGGAAUUUCUGGUGUAGGGGUAAAAUCCGUAGAGAUCAGAAGGAAUACCGAUUGCGAAGGCGAUCUACUAGAACAUUAUUGACGCUGAGACGCGAAAGCGUGGGGAGCAAACAGGAUUAGAUACCCCUGUAGUC
rnacentral:rRNA from 1 species